rnacentral:rRNA from 1 species
CAAUAGCGUAUAUUAAAGUUGUUGCGGUAAAAAAGCUCGUAGUUGGAUUUCUACCGAAGAUAGCCGGUAGGGUCUUCGACCUUGUAUCUGGUUUUGUCUUUGGUAUCCUCAUAGGGAACGUUUCUGCGCUUUAUUGCGUGGUGCGGUAUCUAUGACUUUUACUUUGAGGAAAUUAGAGUGUUCACGGCAGGCAAACGCCUUGAAUAUAUUAGCAUGGAAUAAUAACAUAGGAUCUUCGUCCUAUUUUGUUGGUUUCUAGGGCUAAGAUAAUGAUUAAUAGGGAUAAUUGGGGGCAUCUGUAUCAACGCGUCAGAGGUGGAAUUCUUGGAUUGCGUUGCGACAAACUACUGCGAAAGCAUUUGCCAAGGAUGUUUUCAUUGA